rnacentral:rRNA from 1 species
CGAUGCUACGCGAAGAACCUUACCUGGGUUUGACAUGUACGGAAAAGCCACAGAGAUGUGCUGUCCUUCGGGGCCGUACACAGGUGCUGCAUGGCUGUCGUCAGCUCGUGUCGUGAGAUGUUGGGUUAAGUCCCGCAACGAGCGCAACCCUUAUUCUAUGUUGCCAGCGGUAAAUGCCGGGGACUCGUGGAAGACUGCCGGGGUCAACUCGGAGGAAGGUGGGGACGACGUCAAGUCAUCAUGCCCCUUACGUCCAGGGCUGCAAACACGCUACAAUGGCCGGUACAAAGGGCUGCGAACCCGCGAGGGUAAGCCAAUCCCACAAAGCCGGUCUCAGUUCGGAUUGAAGGCUGCAACUCGCCUUCAUGAAGCUGGAGUUGCUAGUAAUCCCGGAUCAGCACGCCGGGGUGAAUACGUUCCCGGGCAUUGUACACACCGCCCGUCACACCACGAAAGUCGCCAACACCCGAAGCCG